AGGAGUUUCGUGAGAGCUAAUGUGGACACAGGAAAUAAGACAGUUUGAAAAUUGCAGACUUUCAAACACCAACUUCAGAUGGAUGGCAGCAGUUGUGGUGUUCUGAUAUUAAAUUUUGCAGAACAGUACCUUACAAGUGGAUCAAUUGAUCAGGUGGAAACCAGCCCAGCAUCUAUAAGAGCAGAAAGACUGGAGAUUGCUGGCCUCCUUAUGGAAAAUCAGGGUAACAUAGAUGAAUACUGCAUAAUAUGCAGCAUGAUGGACCUGCAAUCAGCCAACACCACAAUUAACAUGGUGCAAUGUGAUCACUGCAACAGACGGGCACACACUGAAUGCACACCGUACUCUGCUGAAGAGUUAUCAACAGAUGGGUACACACUGAAUGCACUCCGUACUCUGCUAAAGAGUUAUCAACAGAUGGGCACACACUGAAUGCACUCCGUACUCUGCUGAAGAGUUAUCAACAGAUGGGCACACACUGAAUGCA